rnacentral:rRNA from 1 species
GACGAACGCUGGCGGCGUGGAUUAGGCAUGCAAGUCGAACGGUAGGAUACCUUCGGGUAUCUGAGAGUGGCGAACGGGUGAGUAACACGUAGGUGAUCUACCCUCAAGAUUGGGACAACCCAGGGAAACUUGGGCUAAUACCGGAUGUGAGCAACUUUUAGUUGUUUGAAAGGUGGCGUAAGCUGUCGCUUGGGGAUGAGCCUGCGUCCUAUUAGUUAGUUGGUGAGGUAACGGCUCACCUAGGCAAUGAUAGGUAGGCGGCCUUAACGGGUGGUCGCCCACACUGGGAUUGAGAUACGGCCCAGACUCCUACGGGAGGCAGCAGUCGAGAAUAGUCUACAAUGGUCGGAAGACUGAUAGUGCGACGCCGCGUGAACGAUGAAUCCCUUCGGGGUUAAAGUUCUUUUAUAUGUGAGCAGUGCUUCUAUAUUAACAGUAUGGGGAAGAGAUAUUAGCAUAUGAAUAAGCAACGGCUAACUCCGUAGCCAGCAGCCGCGGUAAA